rnacentral:rRNA from 1 species
AACGAACGCUGGCGGCAGGCUUAACACAUGCAAGUCGAACGCUCCGCAAGGGGAGUGGCAGACGGGUGAGUAACGCGUGGGAAUCUACCCAUCUCUGCGGAAUAGCUCCGGGAAACUGGAAUUAAUAUCGAAUACGCACUACGGGGGAAAGAUUUAUCGGGGAUGUAUGAGCCCGCGCUGGAUUAGCUAGUUGGUGGGGUAAAGGCCUACCAAGGCGACGAUCCAUAGCUGGUCUGAGAGGAUGAUCAGACACAUUGGGACUGGGACACGGCCCAAACUCCUACGGGAGGCAGCAGUGGGGAAUAUUGGACAAUGGGCGCAAGCCUGAUCCAGCCAUGCCGCGUGAGUGAUGAAGGCCUUAGGGUUGUAAAGCUCUUUCACCGGUGAAGAUAAUGACGGUAACCGGAGAAGAAGCCCCGGCUAACUUCGUGCCAGCCGCCGCCGUAA